GGAGUGUGUCUGACAUCCACCCCAUGCCAAGUCACUACAGCUAGUACAUCUCCAGGCUAUGCUUCUUAGCAUCAUCCCCUGCUGCACAGGGGGCCAGAAGUGAAGGGGUUAAAUCUGUUCAGUUUGUGAGGUGGCUGUUUUGGAGCAUGUUGUGAGACCCGAUAUGAGCUGCGCUCUGUGGGUAGCUGCGCACUGAUAAGGCCCUUUCUCUCGAUAGGAUUUGGAAGCAGAGCCGCAGCAGGCCCGAGUCCGGUGCUAAUCCUGAAAGACCCGUGUGUGUGCUUUGAUUUUGUUUUUAUCAUUUAUUUAUUUUUUGACGUAGCUGUUUCAGAAACACUAGCCACCUUGGCAAGAGGCAGUGGCGAGGGCUUGUCAAGGAGUGUGAGGGACCUGGACACUCAACACCCUUUGGUUUCCACUGGGAAUUGGGUACCUGACCCCUUUGGCAUGGCUGUUGGUGGGAAGCUUGCGCCAUUCCUGCUAGCACGGUGCUUGGAGUCAUCAGAAUGACACAUCCCCAAUUCCACGAGCACCAAAUGUCACUCGGAUAGUGUGAUGGGAUGGAAUUUCAGCUGAACACCAGGUCAUGCUUAACGGUCUCGACUCCAGCUGAAGUCAUGGGGAACUCUGCACCUCUGAAAAUCAAGCCCAAGGCAUCAUUCGUAUUCUAUGCCCAUCACCCUGGUACCUGGACACCUUCCAGAGAGAGGUUCUUACUCAGUGCUGACUCCAAAUCUCAAUGUGAAUAGAAACUUGCCUCACAGCUGGAUAGAAAGGUGGAUUGCAAAGGCUGCUACUAAAAAGAAUCAUUCCAACCUCAGAGUCAAACAGAAGAACCUGCA